AGUAACGGCGAGUGAAGCGGCAACAGCUCAAAUUUGAAAUCUGGCCUCUUUUGGGGUCCGAGUUGUAAUUUGUAGAGGAUGUUUUGGGUACCGCACUGGUUUAAAUUUCUUGGAACAGAAUGUCAGAGAGGGUGAGAAUCCCGUCUUGGACCGGCGGUAGGGCCCAUGUGAAACUCCUUCGACGAGUCGAGUUGUUUGGGA
rnacentral:rRNA from 1 species